GGAAGCAAAAGUCGUAACAAGGUCUCCGUUGGUGAACCAGCGGAGGGAUCAUUACCGAGUUUACAACUCCCAAACCCAAUGUGAACCAUACCAAACUGUUGCCUCGGCGGGGUCACGCCCCGGGUGCGUCGCAGCCCCGGAACCAGGCGCCCGCCGGAGGGACCAACCAAACUCUUUCUGUAGUCCCCUCGCGGACGUUAUUUUUACAGCUCUGAGCAAAAAUUUAAAAUGAAUCAAAACUUUCAACAACGGAUCUCUUGGUUCUG
rnacentral:misc_RNA from 1 species